rnacentral:lncRNA from 1 species
GCCUGCUCUCCACUGCUGGGGCCUGGCCUGCCUCCGUGCCUGCUCUCCACUGCUGGGGCCUGGCCUGCCUCAGUUGGGGAUCUGCCGCCGCUGGGCCUGCUCUCCUGUCUCCUCCCAGGAAAUGGACACAGUGGUCGCAUACACAUAUUUUGCAGAUGUUAUUGCGGGUGUAGUGAAAUGUUGUUUUCCUAGCUCCAACACUUUUAGGGGGUGGCUGUUACAAAUUCCCUGCCUAUGACUGUUAGCAGCACCUCACAACCCUGAGCUGCACACUCCACUGCCCAUCCCCUAGGACCGGAGCCUGAGAGUCUGGGGGGAACCAUAAACCUGCCUCUCAAACUCUCCCUGACCUGUGUGACCUGUGCCCUGAUACACUAGGUUGCUAGGGAGGUUACUAGUGGGCCGGACAUCUGCCCGCCCUCUUGACUCUGCAGGUCACACAAUACUGUCAGUCACCCUCAAGCAGUGGCAGAGAGCAAUAUCUCUGUCUCGGCCCAUCAACAACUGGACUCACUCAUAUCUCUGGACGUGUGGGAUGGUGUGCGUGCCCAAAGUGAGUUGUGUGACAUUUGUAUAUUGUUCUUCAUAGUUAGUUACUACUAUUGCCUAUUGUAUGUCGACCCUCUGAGUUUACUGUGUUGUGUAAUACUCUGCAGGUGGCAUAUGCAAUCUAUACAGUCAUUUGAGUCUAUUUCUGCUUUAUUAUGUAAGAUUAUGUAUCUGUGCAUUCUUUCCCUGGUGUAUUCAUUUAGUAUGUGUGGAUUCAUUACCUCUGUUUCUGUCCAUUACAGAACCAGUAUCAUUCUACUAACUUUCCCAAUGUUCAUCCCUGUGUACAUCCCAUGUUCAUCUUCCUCAGUGUGAAUAAAGUUCCUGUGUGUGUUAACUCUUGGGCUGCUUUAUUCCUCUCUAACUGGGGGCGAUGUCAGUGAGUCACAAGCCAUUAAAAUACGUAGAGCCAGGUCGCUGUUUUUCAGGCCCCAAUACCUUAUCUACACAGUUAGACUCCAGUACCUUAUCUACACAUGAAGAGUGCCACUCAAACCAAGGUCAGCAUCAGGGAGACUGAAAGGCCCUCUUUUCCACAUCCUAAAC